AAGAAUACCUUGCGCUUUCAAAGUCAGUGACCUUCCAAAGCUUCCUGGGAUGUGUGGAGUUAAAUUAUGUUUAUACAACUUUUAACCACGCCACCAAUUUAGUACCUAAUAAGCCUAACUGAUGACGUCUGUAACAGUCAGCGUUUGCUGUGUAACAAAUAACCCUAGAAGCACUACAUACAUGUGAAUGGAGCCUUAACAGCCAAGAAGCAAUCUUAGCAGAGAUGAGAUGGAACCCUCAGAAUUCUCAAACCUGUCCCUGCUCCCUCCAGAAAGUGUUCGUCCUCCUCGGAAUGAUGCAGGUGUGAGCUGUAGCACGGCUUCCAUCUAUGCAUGUUGGUCAGUCCACCUGAACCUCACAGAUUGAGACUACCACGGGUCUCCAGGGGAAAAGAGAGAUGCUGUCACCAGAAAAAGGGACAUUGAGUGCUAGACAUCCAAAAACAACAGAUGACUCUGCAGUCCUCCCCCAGCUACCACUCGCCGAGAGGCAAAAAUCCACAGUGCAUCGACAAUCACUUCUUUAGCAUGAGGAAUAGAGUGAUUUCUUAUUAGGUAAAACCUCUUCCAACUGUGAACCCCUGGAAAAUUUCAGGAUUUGAUCGAAACUAUUUUUAAAAACAAAACCUGGAACUUUCAGCUGUCCUGAUCCUAGACCAGGAAAGCAGGAGCAGCUUUCCACUUUGCUGCAGGAGCCUGCUUCUUUCCUGAGGCUGGUGAAGGAGGCUGUGCUCCGGAAUGGUAAAAGUUGGAGGGUCACAGCCCCUGGGGAAUUACCACAGUGACAGUAAAAACCACAAUGACCCUCAAAGGUGUCCUAACCACAUGCCAGGAGCUGCUCUCACUUAACCAGAGUUCACUUCCUGUUAGCCAAGAUCUUUUUGGUAGUGACAGAAAUUCAACCCAGACUGGCUUGUUGUCAAGAGGAAUUUAAGAACUUGAGGAAGUGAGGUUGGGCUUAAAUAGGUUCGUUCAAACGUGGCCAGAUCAGGAUUUCAGUGACAUCGGCACCUAUAUCUCUCUCUGACUCUCUGAUCAGCAGCAAUAUUGUUCCAAAUACCACUUCAUUUGUAGGAUGUCUUGGCCCCUCACAGAGCCCCCAGCAUCUACAAUUUUACCCAGGAUCUAGUGGGCUCUUGGAAAACAAACUAGAGAAUGGCCGACUGUGAAAAAGAAAUGUCUUGUGCAUAACAGCUUCUUGGACAAGACAUUUCCACCUGGAAACUUGAAAACCAAUCUAUAUGCACUUGGCUUCAGCAGGAAAAGACCCAGGAAGGACUGAGCCAGAGCCUGAGGUAUCUCCUCCCUAGCAUUCCCCUCGGAAGCAAGGAGAAGGUUAGCCCACUUCUCAGAGGAGAAUCCAUCUGCUCCUUUACCAAUCCGCACCCUGUCACCUGUCAUCCCUCUUUUUGCUCUCUGUGCAUCAGCUAAAUAAGUUAUUCUCCACCAUUUGGCCUUCAAAGAGCAGAAGCAGAAGUGUUUCAGAACAAGCCAUGCAAUCCACUAUGAACGCUUCCAUCUCCAGGUGCUGUGGCUCCCUCUAAUCCCCCCGUGAUUCACCCACUUUAAAAUUCCCGCUUUCCUCCCACUUGUUGAAAUGUAAGGAGCACCACGUCACCACGUAAUUAAUUCCCUAAUCCCUAGUUUGAAAACUUAUUUUUUAAAGGUGGUUGUUUUAAACAAAAGCAAAAAAGAAUAUCACGGUGUGAAGCCAUGCCGGGUCAUGGAGGGAAAAAGCAACAGAUGAAGAUGAUGGAUGAGACUUUCUGCAUGCUUUUUUAAAAUGAGUUUUUAAGGUAACUUGCAAAAUGCAUCCAGGGGCAGUGAUGAUUAAUUUAUGUAUGUAAUCUCACUCAUGUGUGACAAACAGCAGUUAGAAAUCACCCACAAUAACCCGUACACAUCUUCCCUUGUUAUCCAAGACUUAAUAAGAGAAAUCCUUGUCUGAUCUUUAUUAGUGAAGCAGCUUUUUAUGAAAUAUACUUCAGAUCAGCAGCAAAUUCAAUGGCUGCAAAGUCAACAGGAAAGCAGCAUGUCAAAACGGAUUCAUCACCUGCACUUUUAGUGCUUUCAGAUCAUUUUCUAAUUCACCAGUGUGCUGGUUUUCCAUGACAAUGCUCCAUGUUUGUCCACAUUUAAUAUGAAGAAAUUGAAUCGAUAAAAGAAAAGGAGGCUCGGGCACCUUGUAGGUCAGGGAGUGUGUUAUUGGCUAUUUCAGUAAAUAAUUGCUUUUAAUCUAGUUUAAAGCUCCGUAGCCCCACGGGCUUCGCUGGCUUCUUCUUGUUUGUUCUGUGAUAAAGGUACACUUCACAUCUUAUAAUACAUUUGUGAAAUGUCCACAUUUGGGAAUUAAAUCACAGUUGUAGCACAGUCAAGAUAUUUACUUUCCAAGCUGAAGCUCCCCCAGGGUGGGAACCUGCGUUGUCCCUGGCCACAUCCCCAGAACUGUGUUUCCCACAGAGCAGGUUGCAGCCAACAACUGCUGAAUCAGUGAAAUCUCCCCAAAAGGCUCCUAUGGCGUUUUAUUGAGGAGUCCUUGGAUUGAUAAAUUUGUGUAAUCCCGAAUUCUCCACACUGAGCUUUCCUGAAGUAUCCCCGGGAGGGGGAAGCCAUUUUCUCAGAUCAUGGGGAGAAAGCUGGGGUCGGGCUAGAAGACAAACCCUCAGCACAUCAAAGUGGAGUGGCCAUUUGGUUGCCUUCUCCAGGUUUCUGAACACACCAUUCUCUCUAUAUGAAUGUAUUUUACAUUCGGAUAACUGUCGAAAGGUACCUCUUGUGGAGACAGGGCCAGGAUCGUGGUAGGGUGGGUAGAACCGCUCCACCUGCCCCUCUCAUCGGCCGCACCACAGGCAUUUCUGUGUGUGCUGUUUUCUCAUUUUACUCAAUGUUCUCUCCACUGAAUAGGGAUCCAAAAUCCCACACUUGGCAAUGUAAUGAUUUUCAAAAAGCCUCUCCUCCAAUUUUCCUUUCAUCUAUCGCUGCUAUCUUCCCCAACAAAGAGAGCUGGCAAUUCAGCCUCAAGAAGACGCGAUGUCAUUGUUCUCUAGUUAGAACAGGAAGCCUCUCGCCGGUCCCCCAGAGUUGCCAUGAGGACACUCUCCACGCAGAUUUCAUCUGGACAUCAACUCAGAAAUUUUUGUGCCACGUUGAGGCACAAUAUCCGCUGAGGAUAUUAAGGAAGAAAAAAUAAUCUCUUGAUGGAACAUAGAAAUGAAACCUAAACGUGGCCCCGAGCUCUGAGUGCUUAUGGGCAUUUAUCAGCAGGUUCAAGGGCAACAGUGCCUCAGGUGCAGAAGCUGUGUGAUGCAUUCAGAACCCUUCAUUUCAUCUGAAGCUGCGCACCUUAAAUUCCCAGCCUUUCUUACAAAAAGUGAGGGGCAGGAACUUGGAGAGGGAAAGGGCUUUUGAGUAUCUGUCCCAGUAACAAAAGAUUUCGGCUCCCUUCAGGUAGCCACAUCCCCUCCAAAAACAGCUCAAAACAGUUAACUUCUGCAAUACAGGAGUGGAAGUCAUUCCAUUUACGGGCCUACAGAGUCAAGAAACAAGGGCCUCCUUGGAACAUGAGAGCCAGUCCUUUGGUACAGUCUCUCCAGGACAUCUCGGCCAUUUAUUAGGCAGAAUUGGACACCUGCCACUCGGCAGGGUGGGCCUGGGAAGACUCAUACACACACACCUAGUCAGGGCAGCAUCUGCUUCCACAGGGUGCCCAAGCCCACUUCCACUUCUCCUUCCCACAAGUAAAUUAGCUUAAAAGAUUGAAGGCACAUUAUCUCUACUCCUAACCACAAAGACUUGGGGUUGUAUGGGUUGUCAAGGCAACAAUAGCAGUUUUCUCUCUGACUCUUUAAUGCCGAGAUUUAUGUUUCCAUAGUUACGAGAAAUCCCUAGUUCUUCAAGAUAACAUAAACUGGUCUCCCAAAACUUUCAGGGAUGAGAUUGUCGCCACUGGCCAAAAACCACAUACACUGGCAUUGAAGACCCCUGUGCCUACCUGCUCACCAUUACCCUGGAGCUGGGUUUCUGCACCCCUUCCUGUUCUUGAGGUCACAUUCGUAGUUAGGAGUGGCUCCUUUAGUUAGUUAGGCCACUCCAGGGAUUUGCAAAGUCAGGAAGUUAGAAUGGACCCAGGAACUAGAGCUCCCUUAAACUAUCAGGCUGAAUUUGUUAGAACCACUGCAGCCAAAGCCACCACAAAGAACUCUGCCAAGUCAAAGUCACCCCUUAGGGGCUGGACACAGCAAUGACACAGGGUCAGGGCCCUUGGAGAAAUGGAACUAUCUGGAGCCCCCAAGAUUACAUUCCUGGGUCUUCCACUCCCAACCAGACCCAAGCUCUGUAACCUCAAUUUCUAGAAUCCAGGAGUUCAUUUUUUUCUCAGAAUUAACUCAUGUGGACCUAACCUUUCAGACAUUUGUACAACUGGGCUCACAGAAUUUUGUUUAGGCCAAUUGGUUAAUACAUCACUUCUCUACAACUUG